UACAGAGGCCCCGAGCGUUACCCGGAUUCAUUGGGCGUAAAGCGUCCGCAGACGGUUAUCUGCGUCGAAUGUGAAAUCCCUCCGCUCAACGGAGGAACGCCAUUCGAUACGAGAUAGCUUGAGGCAGGGAGAGGUCAGUGGAACUCAUGGUGAAGCAGUGAAAUGCGUUGAUAUCAUGGGGAACACCAAUUGCGAAGGCAGCUGACUGGUCCUGUCCUGACGUUCAGGGACGACAGCGUGGGGAGCGAAUGGG
rnacentral:rRNA from 1 species